rnacentral:rRNA from 1 species
GAUGAACGCUGGCGGCGUGCCUAAUACAUGCAAGUCGAGCGAACGGAUAAGGAGCUUGCUCCUUUGACGUUAGCGGCGGACGGGUGAGUAACACGUGGGUAACCUACCUAUAAGACUGGAAUAACUCCGGGAAACCGGGGCUAAUGCCGGAUAACAUUUAGAACCGCAUGGUUCUAAAGUGAAAGAUGGUUUUGCUAUCACUUAUAGAUGGACCCGCGCCGUAUUAGCUAGUUGGUAAGGUAACGGCUUACCAAGGCAACGAUACGUAGCCGACCUGAGAGGGUGAUCGGCCACACUGGAACUGAGACACGGUCCAGACUCCUACGGGAGGCAGCAGUAGGGAAUCUUCCGCAAUGGGCGAAAGCCUGACGGAGCAACGCCGCGUGAGUGAUGAAGGUCUUCGGAUCGUAAAACUCUGUUAUUAGGGAAGAACAAAUGUGUAAGUAACUGUGCACGUCUUGACAGUACCUAAUCAGAAAGCCACGGCUAACUACGUG